AGCGAACGCUGGCGGCAGGCCUAACACAUGCAAGUCGAACGAACUCUUCGGAGUUAGUGGCGGACGGGUGAGUAACACGUGGGAACGUGCCUUUAGGUUCGGAAUAACUUAGGGAAACUUGUGCUAAUAACGAAUGUGCCCUUCGGGGGAAAGAUUUAUCGUCUUUAGAGCGGCCCGCGUCUGAUUAGCUAGUUGGUGAGGUAACGGCUCACCAAGGCGACGAGCAGUAGCUGGUCUGAGAGGAUGACCAGCCACACUGGGACUGAGACACGGCCCAGACUCCUACGGGAGGCAGCAGUGGGGAAGCUUGCGCAAUGGGCGAAAGCCUGACGCAGCCAUGCCGCGUGAAUGAUGAAGGUCUUAGGAUUGUAAAAUUCUUUCACCGGGGACGAUAAUGACGGUACCCGGAGAAGAAGCCCCGGCUAACUUCGUGCCAGCCGCCGCGGUAA
rnacentral:rRNA from 1 species